rnacentral:rRNA from 1 species
AACGAACGCUGGCGGCGUGCCUAACACAUGCAAGUCGAACGUGAAAGUCCUUCGGGAUGAGUAAAGUGGCGCACGGGUGGGUAACACGUAGGUGACCUACCUUUUAGAGGGAAGUAACCAGAUGAAAAUUUGGCUAAUGCCGCAUACGAAGUACAAAUAUAAUAGUAGUACUUGAAAGAAUGCCUCUGUAUAUGCAUUCACUAUUAGAUGGGCCUGCGGGGACAUUAGCUAGUUGGUGGGGUAAUGGCCUACCAAGGCAACGAUGUCUAUCCGGUCUGAGAGGAUGAUCGGACACACUGGAACUGAGACACGGUCCAGACUCCUACGGA